rnacentral:misc_RNA from 1 species
GUCAUUGCCAGGAAAAACAACAUGCUGCUUGACACAUGAAAAAAGUGGAAUGUAAUUGAGCUUUAUUAGCUGAAAUUCAAUGGCUAAUGGGUUCAAAAUCUUUUAUGGUUUGCGAUUGGAUUUCAAACUCAUAAACCCUACUUGAUAAUACAGUGUAUGUUCACAUUUAAUGGCAUCACAUGUAGGGUUUUCAAGGAUAAGGAAGAUU